GUGCAUACCCUGCAAGAAGCUGUACGACACUGAGGAAGAAUUGGAGACGCAUUUCAUCAUAUGCAGAGCGGCGAGGAACUACCCUCGCAAGUGCUGCUACUGUUCGGAGAUGCUCCACAACGUCAUUCACUACAAGACGCACUACAUGCAGGAGCACCCCACGCUGCAGUAUCGCUACCUCACUCAGAACAGCAUCUGCGAUAUUUGCGGGAAAUCGAUUUUCAAGCCGCACCUCGAGGCGCACCUCCGCACGCACCACGGCGC